CCACUACUUUGCCUCUGAAUAACAGAAGCUGGUCACUGGAACCACAGGUAUUUUGAAACAAGAGCUUCACCAGCACUUAAAUGACUGACCAACAGAAAAGAAGUCUCGAAAGUUAAACUGGGGACAAAUGCAUUACUCUGGAUUAUUUUUGGCCAUCAUUUAUCUCACUUUCUACUAACUGGUAAAUGAAGGUAGAGCAGACGUGCCUGUAUUGAGCUAAAUUUAAUAGGCAAGUACUUCUUGUGUGUUAUAGUACAGUAGACAAUGAUCGUGGUUAGUCUAGCCCUAGUGUUUAAAGCCAAAGUAAAAGGGUGAAGUCAGCUUUAAGGUACCAUUCUGCACUUUAUUUUCAUUGUGCCUUUUCUGUGUAGAUAGGCAUGCAAUGGAAGUAAUUAAGACUGUGAGAGGAAAGAGUAGAACUAGAAACCCUUCGGGAUAGCUGGUAAUGAUCAAGCUGGUACUUGUAUUUACAGCAUAGCCUAUUAUUAUUUAACUUGGAACGAAUAAAUAAUUCCUAUGUUGUGCUAGAUGCAUGUUACUAGUGGCCAGAGUAGUGUCAGAACCGGUCAGUAAGCUUCACUGUAUACACAGAAGCAUUGAGUGUUAUGGGUUCUAUACCUCUUGUUCAAUGUACUGUGAUUUCUUGACUGCAGAUUUCCACACAAGACUCAUUCUUGAGUGAAAAUUCUUAUAGUCUAUUCUCAGCCUUUUUUUUUUCCUAGUAAAAAAGCACAAGAAAGUCUGCAACAAAAAAGAUAUGUAGGUAUGGACUUGUGUUAAGGGCUGAUCUGUAAGUUCCUAAAACCAAACAAUACCUGAACUUAUUCUGUUCAGAUGUUUCCUUUCCCUAGUGGUUGUUUGCUGAAUACAAGUGAGAUCCCUGAAGUUUGGUUAUAUCCAGUUGAAUAGAAUUCUCAUUGCUGUGUGUAUAUAGAAAGCCAAGUGUUCCUCAUUUCUAUCCUGUGCAGGUAUGUUUUUCUGCAAUGUUUUAAAAUCUGCUUUGUGCUACAGAGUCUCUUAUUUAUAUUAAGGCCUUCAUGUCUUGUUAAAUGGUCAUUGAACAGAGAUAGUGAAUUGAUGUUAAAAUCUUCUCACUGAUUUCAGCUAAACCAAUCACUAGUCUAUUAAAAAUAAACAACAGAAAAAGCUUUUUACUCACUGUCUAGCUAACAGAGUGCAUAAGAGUAGAGAGCUUUGACCCCAGAAGGCUUUGAGUGAUAGACUCUUUUCAGAUUCUUGUGUAAAGCCCAAUGUGUAAAUUUGACAGUAGUUCUCUGCGUUUGACAUUGUAACUUAAAGCUUUUAUGUUAUUUAAAUAUACUAAAAUGCACCCUGAAUGAAACUGCAGGUGCUGCUACACUUCUAUUAGAGAACAGUAAUACUUGCCUUAGAAAAACUCUGAGGCAGGUGAAAGAGUUAAGCAAAGCAGCCAGAAACCAUUUUCAGCUUUUACUUUGCAGAUACAACCUUUUAAGCAUACCUACAUUUACCUGCAAUGGCAAUCGUUUUGCAUUUUAAUGACAAAUCAAGUACGCUAACUUGCAUUUGAAACGAAAGUGCCUUAAAUGUCUCUGGCUGUCAGAAUGAGAUGUUAGGAGCUUGAUGAAAAGAGAACAAAGAAGACAAAGUAUGAAGCCUAGAUACAGUGCAAAAUGAAAUAAAACCUUGUAUGGCCUGUCAGGGGUGUCAGUUGAUAUUCCUAUCUAAAGCACAUUAUAGUAUUACUUUGCAGCUCAUAGCUUACUCAUCUGUCUUUUUUAAUUCAUCACAUUCUAGCCCACAUCUUUUAAGUCCCAUGUGUCAACAAUGGAAGAAAUCUGUUAAUUGACAAAUGAGUGUCACAAAUGUGAAUUGGUGCCUUUACAUCAGAGGCAGGUAGUCUCUGUUGUUUUUUGUCGGCUCUAUUAUUGGCAUAAGCCAGUGUAAGACAUCUGUCUUUGCCAGAAUGAGAGAUGACAGCCAAAGAAGGGCUGUCAUUGUUUUAGUGCAUGUUCAUUCUGCUGAGAUACUGUAUAAAGAUAAAAUGUCAGUUAAAAGAAUAUGAAAAACUAUUGGGAGGAAGUCCUUAAAUUACUUGGGAAGGGGAUCCGGGAAUUGGUGCCAGAAUUGAAAUCCGAACAUUCCAGCUUGCAUCUAUCACAUCAAUUUAAAAAUAAUACUUUCUGAGUAACUGGGUCAGUUUAUAAGGCAUUUAGGAAAACGUUAGGCUGUGUUGGCAUAAUUAGCUCGUAAGAUGGAAGGAAAAAACAUACCUCCACAGGAUAUGAGUUUAUUUAUUACAAGUUCAUUUUUCAGACAUGUAUAGAAUUGUCUCAAUAAAAAUAUGCUGUGUAGCAUCUCUGGCGUUGAUUUGCAUCUGUUUUGAAACAUUGAAAUUGCUCCUUUCCAAUUUCUUUUUCUGUUAUAUUUCUAUUUUAGAUUGAUGAAUAACAUAAUGAAAUAAAAAGCAUAGCCAGCUGUGAGUUGAUGAGACAAUUAAUAGGAAGAAAAUUAUUAACAGAGUUCUGGGGUGUCUAGAGGGUGUAAACUAUACAAAAGUUACUCCCAAAUCACUAAAUCCCUUUAUUGCAGUAAAUGACUUUUUAAUAUUGGAUAGUGAAAAAGAGGAAAAAGCUUUAAUGGAGGAGGUGGAAAGGGGAAUAGAAUAAAAAUGUCAUAAAAGGCCACCAUUGUCCUUUUUAUUUUGGGUCAAAAGUCAUAAGAUGGAUAGAUGAACGUUAAUCCAUCAACUUUAACAACAAUACACUAUAGGUGCUAUGAGAUGCUCUACUCCUUCCAAAAUGACCUGCAACGGGGUUCUGAGUGACCUUGUAUGAGUGUUUGGGUUUUUGAGGACUGUGACAGAACCCAGGGAAGGACUAAAUCUUGAACUGUAGUGAGAUUGGAUGUGUACAAGUUUCAGGAUGUUGCUAAACAAUUUGUUAAAAAUCUUAAUGUUAGAAUUAAUUGUUUUUACAUUUUAGAGCCAUUGAUCUGGUAGAUUGUACAAGUUCUCAAUUUUCAUACCUACGCGAUACAGGGUAACUUUGUAGGAUUUGUCUUUUUUUUUUUUUUUUUUUUUUUUUUUAAGAACUUGCUUCCAGCAAAUAUUUGAGCAGUAGAAAAAAAUGUCUAAUUGAUGUUCUUCCCUCCCCACCAUCAAAUGUGGAGCUCUCUAAUUUUGUUUGUCUUUGGUAACUGUGUUUAUCUCCAAGGAGCCUCCAAGCUGUUUUACUGCAGUCUGUGGUUAAUGUUGAUUGCAGUUUUUGUUACUAGUCUCAAGAAUUGAAAUAAAAUUAAAUACUUCUAAUGGGUGCUAGUAAUUUUAUGGGUCUUUGGUGUCUAAAGCCAAGAAUGACUAGCAUAAAGCUUCCUUUCAUUUUUACACAUUGGGUAGAAAUACUGUGGCUUUGUAAGGAGAUCUUUGUUUAAAAAUUAAGAGGGAAGGUGGUUUGUGUCUUUAAAAAACUACUUUAGGAAAAAAAAAUUCAAGUCCUUUAGCAUUCAUGUUGCUACAGGUCAUUUUAAAAGAAUACAACUGAUGAAACUUAAGGAGCGUUUGUUGUUUGUAUACAAAGGCUUACAUGCCUUAAUUGAACAACUUUUUAUUAGUGGAAGCCUUGUUUUUGUGUUUCCAGCCUUAACUGGUUCUAACUAAAUGCUUAAAUUUCCAGUCAAAAGCCAUGCAGUUGGUGGCUUUACGUGAAAUGCCAGGCAUAUCUUCUCAGGCAUGGUUUUUAGCAAUGUUUUCUCAUGUUCAGUUUCCUUUGAGAAUUGGAAAGGUACCACUCGCCAUUUUACAGAGGGCACAACUGAGAGGUGAGUAAGCCUUGCUGAUUAACUGUAGAAGCCAAGUGUAAUUUUCAGCCCUUCAUAUCAACUUGCAUAAACCACUUCCACACGUCAUCAGGAGUGAUGGGUGACACCUGUCCACCCACUGUUUCUGUAGUGCUCCUGGAAGUAGUUUAUUUUCAUGUGCCACAUAGCUAUACUUUAUAUUACCUGAUAGCAGGUGUAUCAACAAGGUUGAUGAUCCAUCUGAGACUGAAGAGAAGGUUAGGAUUUGAAUUGUAGACAUGGAGAUACAUUUUUUGCCUUUGGGUGGAUUGUCUUUUACUCAUAUUUGUUCCUUCCUAGCUGAAUGUUAUAUAAUUAUAAAAACCAAAAACACACAAAAAGAAGCACAGUAACAAAAACAGUGUGGACUUAGACUGUUGGUAGAUUUUCUUUAUUUAUUAGUUAGGAAAGAAAUAUAUGUUCAGUAAGGGUGACUAGGAAGUACAGAUGUCAUUUCUAUAAGAUAAUUGAAUUAACUUCAUUGUGAAAAUUCACGUGUGGGAAAUAAAUUGUAGAGUGAUAGGAUACUAUCCUGUCCUGUACCUCAUGCUUACUGCAAAAUGCCAGGUAAAGCCCACAGAAAACAGCUUUUAGAAUUCAGCUAUGGAAGUGUGCACUUGUAUGACAGUAUUGUCACUGCUACAUUAACUCUAGAAAGGGAGGAUACUAGAAUUUAAAUAUAAAAUGUUGUACAUGUGCGUGUGCAUACCCUCUUGGCGAUUUCCCCCUUCCGAACUGCCAGCUGUCAUACAGAAUCUGAAACAGACAAAAUUUAUUGGGUAGUAUUUAGAAACAUGUCAGUGGUAACGACUAGAUCUCUGAUUUCAAUUAUCACCUACUAAAUUUAGGCUGAUGUUAUGCAUUUGUAGACCUGUUGAAUGCACUUGACAUCAUGUUUAAAAUAUUUAAAACUGCACUGUUUUUUAAUAUCAUAUGUUGACCACUUUUUUUUCCUACACACAUCUGGUACGUGGCAGCAGGCAUCCCAUGUGACCCAUAAAAACUUCAGUUAUACUAGUUUGAGUGUUUCUUUUUUUUUCUUCAGAUAAUAUUUCAGCUAAGGACAAGAAAGUCUGAGGUAACAAUACAAAAAUUUGCUUAAUGAAAUAAACUACUACUCUAAUAUCUGUAAUUCACCUUUUUUUCACCCUUUGCAAUCAGUAUGUAAACAUUUUAAUUUUUGCUUCUGUUGUUUAGCAUUACCUUUUCAUUGAAAAUCCUUGGGAUUUAGGCACCUUUAUCAGUUGUGUACUCUUAAAACUAUUUUAAUAGCAGAUUACCUAUAGCCAUUAUUAUUCUGUAGAAUGAUUGGGUCAUUCUUAAGGUAGAAAUCAUGAUUUUGCACUGUCUCUUGUUAAAUUAGUGGAGAUUAAAGUCUGGACUCAAAUUACUCUGAGUUCCGCUUUACUUGCUCUGUGAAUGUCUUUUGUGCUAUUAUUUUAGGUUUUUGAGGGGGGAAUCUAUUAAUUCUUCUUAUUUAUUUUUUUUCCAAACAUAGGGAUACUUUGUUGUAGUGCUGCAAAAUAGUUUUGUAUCUUCCAAUCUCUUACUCUCUUAUUCCUUCCCUACCCAACAUUCUCAUACAUACUCAUUAAAUCUAUCUGCUGAUGUUUGCAUCUCUGAGCUUGCCUUCUAACUGUUGGGAUAAUAACCUUCGAAGAUACUUGUUUGGUAGUACAGAAGUGUUUGAAUGCACACUGUUCUUGUGAAAAUACUCCAAGCUUCUAAUGUUACAUUUGCAUCUGUGUGCAAGCAAUGUAAGAAACAAAAUAGUCCUCAAAUAUGUUUAGAAUACUUUAAAUAAGAUCAUUGUCCACAUCUUGAUAGCUGCAUAGGCAAGCAAGGGAAUUUUGGAGGAAUAAAUAUCCUUCUUGUUUAAAGCAAAUCCCCAGAUUGCUUAUACUAAUUUUGCUUUGUUUUAGUUUCUCAUCUUGGAAUCUGUUUUUCCUUAGUAAUCUUCUGUGAUUGUUAGCAGUUUUUUUUCUUCCUGCAUAAUACUCUCAGACAUCCUUUAACUGUUUUAUCCUUAUGGAUAUCAAAAGUAUUUUAAACUGAAGUGAUCCAAAAAUUCUGAGCACCUUACCUAUUUCUGAAAUAUACGGCAGAAUAACAGAAACAUUUGACAGGGGUAUUGGAAACGUGCCUUCUGGAAGAGAGAACAAAUCUUGAAGAUGAAAUUUCAAUAAAGUUGAAUAUAGCUCUUCUGGAGAAAUGGGUGUCUUCUCUCACUUGAUAUCAUGGUACCUGCCAGUUGUAUGUUUCUACAGCACCUAAAUGUACCUUCAGCUUUUCUUUAAAUCAAUAGGACAGUUACCGCUUUCAAUACGUCAUUGUGGAACUUCUCAAAUAUGCAAGUUUAUUGCAAAUGCUUUGUACGUGGUGUAUCUGCUGUCCACUUGAUAUGUCAGAAGUAUUCAUGUUGAGGAAAAGUAUAUGUGUGCUUGAAGAGUGGAGAGGGAUGAAAAUUAGUAUGUUGCUGUUCUCUCUUUGUUACAGCUGAUAGGUCUAAUACAAAAAAAGAAGUGCAUGCUACAGUCAUGAACUCUGAAAUAAUAAGGCUCAGGAGUUUUUAUGUUGCAUAAACAGACAGGUGAAGUGUAUUUUAUGUUCCUGUAGAGCAGAAAAGUAAAUACUGUGAUAUUUACUAUAUUUUCUCUGUGUUGAUAAGCCCUAUCAGUAAUAAAAGUCUCAAAGUUAAUUAAACUUAAGCUUUAUGUUAAAGACACUGUCCUAUUUUCUUGUUACUUAUCAAAAAUGCUUCAUCAACCAUCAUAGUCUGUAAAGUGUCUUCCAUGCAUUAAUCAGAGGCUGCUGUGGGGAACUUUAAUCACAAUAAAAACCAGUUUAUACUUUGUAAACAAAUAAUUAUUUGCUGAGAAGAAGCAAAAAAAAAAAAACAUUUCAUCCUUUCAUUUCAUCAAUGCCAAAAAGGGACAAAAACAGAGAAGAGGGAAUGCUCAUCUGUGUUAUUAAUAUAUGGCUUACUUUCAAUUCAUGACUUCUGUCACACAGUGCCAUCCUUCUAAUCAAUGGUCUGAAUGUCUUUCUGGAAUAGAUUGGAUUAAUCCUUGUUUUAAAUGUGAACAAAUGUAUUUACUCCAGCAGAGAAGAAAUAAAAAGACAGCUAAAGAAAUUCAUGUUUGGAAAUAGUAGAGGAGUUUUAUAUUGUCAUUUGCUUUGCUUUUUUAAAUGCUUUGUGAGGCUUUGUUCAUUGCAUGACUCCUACAGGAGGGUAGUGGUGCAUUAUGUGAAGACAAAUGUCUUGGGAACAAAAGGGCCCGUUUCUGCCAAAGCUAGAAGAUGGUUCUGGCUCUUCAUUUUUUUUCUACCUUCAAAGAAGUCCAAGAAAACUGCUGACACUUACAGAAGAGGAAAAUAUGAUUUAUGAUGACAUCAUGUAUUACCCAAGCAAAUCUGUUUCGAGGAAGAUUGUUUUUUUUUCCUGGUGUGUUGUAAUAAAGAAACAGUGAAUCAUUCUUGAA